CUCAUUGACAAGUUUGAUGAACAUGAUGGUCCAGUGCGAGGCAUUGACUUCCAUAAGCAGCAGCCACUGUUCGUCUCUGGAGGAGAUGACUAUAAGAUUAAGGUACAGAGGGUCUGUCAUAACUGAGAAUAAAGGACAGAGGACGUGGGAAGGUUUGGGAAUCAUGAAAGGGACUGAAAGACAGGAAAUUUCAUUCAUACAGAGCUCAGGCUUUUGACAACAUUAUCCGGAGAACUUACUCAGCAGACAUUUAUUGAAUGCUUACUGUAUACCAGACACUGUUUUCUUUUGUGGGAAUUCAAAAAUAAAUAAGAAAUGGCUUCUGUUUUCAAGGAGCUUUUAUUCUAAUAGAGGAGAUAAACAUAUAUCCAAGUAAUAGCAUGUACAGUUUGGUAAGCGAUAUAAUAGAGAGAUAUUCACAGUGAAAUAGGAAAGAGCAGUAUAGGUGCAAAGACAAAAGGCAUGACACAGCUAGAUACAGGGCAGCUCUUACUGGUUUUGUAUGGAGAAAACCUGGAGAAAUAGUGAGAGAAGGGGCAGAAGAUGAGAGGGGCCAGAUCAUGGAGUACCUGUU
rnacentral:sRNA from 1 species